rnacentral:rRNA from 1 species
AGCGAACGCUGGCGGCAGGCCUAACACAUGCAAGUCGAACGAACUCUUCGGAGUUAGUGGCGGACGGGUGAGUAACACGUGGGAACGUGCCUUUUGGUUCGGCAUAACUCAGGGAAACUUGUGCUAAUACCGAAUGUGCCCUUCGGGGGAAAGAUUUAUCGCCAUUAGAGCGGCCCGCGUCUGAUUAGCUUGUUGGGGAGGUAACGGCUCACCAAGGCGACGAUCAGUAGCUGGUCUGAGAGGAUGACCAGCCACACUGGGACUGAGACACGGCCCAGACUCCUACGGGAGGCAGCAGUGGGGAAUCUUGCGCAAUGGGCGAAAGCCUGACGCAGCCAUGCCGCGUGAAUGAUGAAGGUCUUAGGAUUGUAAAAUUCUUUCACCGGGGACGAUAAUGACGGUACCCGGAGAAGAAGCCCCGGCUAACUUCGUG